GGCUCUUUGGCGAUGUGAUUGGCGCAUUUGACUCUUGCUCAGGAGUCUGGGGUUCAAUUCCCCGCCUGGGCCC